UAGUGGCGAACGGGUGAGUAACACGUGAGUAACCUGCCCCUGACUCUGGGAUAAGCGUUGGAAACGACGUCUAAUACUGGAUAUGACUGCCGGCCGCAUGGUCUGGUGGUGGAAAGAUUUUUUGGUUGGGGAUGGACUCGCGGCCUAUCAGCUUGUUGGUGAGGUAAUGGCUCACCAAGGCGACGACGGGUAGCCGGCCUGAGAGGGUGACCGGCCACACUGGGACUGAGACACGGCCCAGACUCCUACGGGAGGCAGCAGUGGGGAAUAUUGCACAAUGGGCGAAAGCCUGAUGCAGCAACGCCGCGUGAGGGAUGACGGCCUUCGGGUUGUAAACCUCUUUUAGUAGGGAAGAAGCGAAAGUGACGGUACCUGCAGAAAAAGCACCGGCUAACUACGUGCCAGCAGCCGCGGUAAUACGUAGGGUGCAAGCGUUGUCCGGAAUUAUUGGGCGUAAAGAGCUCGUAGGCGGUUUGUCGCGUCUGCUGUGAAAUCCCGAGGCUCAACCUCGGGCUUGCAGUGGGUACGGGCAGACUAGAGUGCGGUAGGGGAGAUUGGAAUUCCUGGUGUAGCGGUGGAAUGCGCAGAUAUCAGGAGGAACACCGAUGGCGAAGGCAGAUCUCUGGGCCGUAACUGACGCUGAGGAGCGAAAGCAUGGGGAGCGAACAGGAUUAGAUACCCUGGUAGUCCAUGCCGUAAACGUUGGGCGCUAGAUGUAGGGACCUUUCCACGGUUUCUGUGUCGUAGCUAACGCAUUAAGCGCCCCGCCUGGGGAGUACGGCCGCAAGGCUAAAACUCAAAGGAAUUGACGGGGGCCCGCACAAGCGGCGGAGCAUGCGGAUUAAUUCGAUGCAACGCGAAGAACCUUACCAAGGCUUGACAUACACCGGAAACGGCCAGAGAUGGUCGCCCCCUUGUGGUCGGUGUACAGGUGGUGCAUGGUUGUCGUCAGCUCGUGUCGUGAGAUGUUGGGUUAAGUCCCGCAACGAGCGCAACCCUCGUUCUAUGUUGCCAGCGCGUUAUGGCGGGGACUCAUAGGAGACUGCCGGGGUCAACUCGGAGGAAGGUGGGGAUGACGUCAAAUCAUCAUGCCCCUUAUGUCUUGGGCUUCACGCAUGCUACAAUGGCCGGUACAAAGGGCUGCGAUACCGUAAGGUGGAGCGAAUCCCAAAAAGCCGGUCUCAGUUCGGAUUGAGGUCUGCAACUCGACCUCAUGAAGUCGGAGUCGCUAGUAAUCGCAGAUCAGCAACGCUGCGGUGAAUACGUUCCCGGGCCUUGUACACACCGCCCGUCAAGUCAUGAAAGUCGGUAACACCCGAAGCCGGUG
rnacentral:rRNA from 1 species